CUCCUGGUUUGGGAAUGUUUGUGACUAUUACAACUUACAAUGAUGAGGUAAUAUUGUCGAAGUUAUACGGCCCGCAAGGGACAUUCUAUUUUACUUCACAUUCACCUGGUGAACACACCAUUUGCUUAGAAUCUAAUUCUACAAGGCUUGUGUAAUUUGGAGGGAGUAGGCUGCGGAUCCACUUAGAUAUUCGAGUUGGAGAACACGACCUUGAUGCGGCCAUUGCUCAAGCAAAGGACAAAGUUAAUGAACUUACCUUCAAGCUUGAACAUCUAAUUGAACAAAUUGAGCAAAUAGUCAAAGAACAAAACUAUCAAAGGGACCGUGAAGAAAAUUUUCGAACGACCAGUGAAGAUACAAAUAGCAAUGUUUUAUGGUGGGCUUUUGCACAAAUAUUAAUCUUUAUCUCAGUCGGAAUUUUCCAAAUGAAGUACCUGAAAGACUUCUUUAUAGCUAAGAAGAUUGUUUAAAAUAUUAUCAAUAAGGACAAAUAAUCUGCAUAAUGUUUGAGUUAAUAAAUCAAAAUACCUGCA
ensembl:lncRNA TMED11P transmembrane p24 trafficking protein 11, pseudogene